GAUGAACGCUAGCGGCAGGCCUAACACAUGCAAGUCGAGGGGCAUCAUGGCGUAGCAAUACGCUGAUGGCGACCGGCGCACGGGUGCGUAACGCGUAUGGAACCUACCCACCGCAGGGGGAUAACCCGCCGAAAGGCGGACUAAUACCCCAUGGUUCCCCGACCCUGCCUGGGGUUGGGGGUAAAGCCUACGGGCGGCGGUGGAUGGCCCUGCGUGCCAUUAGCUGGCUGGUGGGGUAACGGCCCACCAGGGCGACGAUGGCUAGGGGGUCUGAGAGGACGAUCCCCCACACUGGUGCUGAGACACGGACCAGACUCCUACGGGAGGCAGCAGUGAGGAAUAUUGGUCAAUGGGCGGAAGCCUGAACCAGCCAUGCCGCGUGCAGGAUGACGGCCCUACGGGUUGUAAACUGCUUUUCCCCGGGAAGAACCCUCCGACGUGUCGGAGACUGACGGUACCGUGGGAAUAAGCAUCGGCUAACUCCGUGCCAGCAGCCGCGGUAAACUGUCUACG
rnacentral:rRNA from 1 species